CCUCGGUUCUAUUUGUUGGUUUCAGGACCGAAGUAAUGAUUAAUAGGGACAGUCGGGGGCAUUAGUAUUUAAUUGUCAGAGGUGAAAUUCUUGGAUUUAUGAAAGACUAACUUCUGCGAAAGCAUUUGCCAAGGAUGUUUUCAUUAAUCAAGAACGAAAGUUAGGGGAUCGAAGACGAUUAGAUACCGUCGUAGUCUUAACCAUAAACUAUGCCAACUAGGGAUCGGUGAGCGUUGUCUAUGACCUCAUCGGCACCUUACGGGAAACCAAAGUUUUUGGGUUCCGGGGGGAGUAUGGUCGCAAGGCUGAAACUUAAAGGAAUUGACGGAAGGGCACCACCAGGAGUGGAGCCUGCGGCUUAAUUUGACUCAACACGGGGAAACUCACCAG
rnacentral:rRNA from 1 species